UCUUCUUUUCUUACACCAUCUACAAUAUCAGAUUUAACAGCUCACAUUACUGUGGUCACCACACCCUGUGUAACAAAUAUAGGGGAUCAUUUAUUUCACACUUUAGAUACAUUAAAACUGAAUUCUUUUUGACAGGAAAUACUAACAUUUUCAUACUGUUCCUUGAAUUAACAGUAAAACAUCUGCAAUCCCGGGAAAUAUGAGCUUAAUGACAAUUUUUGAAAAAAUCAGCAGUUGUGCUCUUUUCUGAAAUAGGAGUAAUCCGCUGACAAGAGAGACUGUAAAAACAUGCCAAACUAAUGCUGCAUGAAAAAACCCAGCAGUUAAAUAACCCAGAAAAUAUUUAUGCUUUUGUGUCCGAUAGACCCUGAGAGAAAGCAGAGUAGAUAUAAUGGUAUGCGCAGAAACAUUUAUCAUAGUCUCCAUGUAUACAUUUUACUCUGUUCUUUAAUGACAGUUAAGGGUUCCAUCCUUCUGCAACGGAUCGUAUCGGACACCGAUUGCUGCCAGGCACCGUCGCCAGCCGAGGGAACCUGCUCGGGACGCAACCUUUGUCCACACACAGUGGCACAGGGGUUAGUCCUGGUGCCUCACAGCUUCUGGGCCACCUUCACCCAACCCGAAUGUACCCUGCCUCAAGCCCUGUGCUUGCCGGAUAGGCCGUCAUACCACCGUAACCUUGCGCUGGACAGAUACACACACACACACAUUUUCUGAACCGCUUGUCCCAUACAGGGUCGCGGGGAACCGGAGCCUACCCGGCAACACAGGGCGUAAGGCCGGAGGGGGAGGGGACACACCCAGGACGGGACGCCAGUCCGUCGCAAGGCACCCCAAGCGGGACUCGAACCCCAGACCCACCGGAAAACAGAAUCUGGUCCAACCCACUGCGCCACCACGCCCCCGCUGGACAGAUAUUUAUUAGUAAUUGAUUAUUUCUAUUCUUUUAUUGUUGUCAUUUUUUAAAGCUGGUAUUGUAUUGACUUUACAGUUGUAACCCAUAUGUCCUUCGUCUUUAUUGUAAAAAUAAACUUUAAAAACUCCUUUUAAUUGUGAUAUUU
rnacentral:lncRNA from 1 species